UACGUAGGGGGCAAGCGUUGUCCGGAAUCAUUGGGCGUAAAGCGCGUGUAGGCGGCUUGGUAAGUCUGCUCUGAAAGCCCGGGGCUCAACCCUGGGAGGCGGGUGGAUACUGCUGAGCUCGAGUCCGGAAGAGGCGAGUGGAAUUCCUGGUGUAGCGGUGAAAUGCGCAGAUAUCAGGAGGAACACCGGUGGCGAAGGCGGGUCUCUGGGCCGUAACUGACGCUGAGGAGCGAAAGCGUGGGAGCGAACAGG
rnacentral:rRNA from 1 species